CAAAAACAUAGCUGCGUGAUUUUACCCGUAGUACUUUCUGCUCAAUGAAACUUAAAUAGCCGCAGUACCCUGACUGUGCAAAGGUAGCGUAAUCAGUUGUCUUCUAAUUAAAGUCUUGUAUCAACGAAUAUAUGGGGGCCCACUUUACCAGUAAUAUUAAAUGAAUUUGCUAAGGGGGUGCAAAUACCCUCAUAUUUUAAUAGACGAGAAGACCCUAGAAAUUUUUACAUCUGUUUUUGUUGGGGCAACAUAGUAACAUGGAAUCUACUAUAUAGGCAAGAAAAUUGUUAGGUAGCUUAAAUUACUCUAGGGAUAACAGCAUAAUGAAUAAUCGUUUGUGACCUCGAUGUUGGAUUAAGGAAUUAUAACCUAAAAGGUAUUUAAUUACGCUCUGUUCGAGCA
rnacentral:rRNA from 1 species